UUGGCCUUUCUGUCAGAAACUAACCACUAAAUUGGGAGCUUUCGCUUGCUGCUUCUGGAGGGGAAAGUCCACAUCCAUUUUAUGUAUAGCGAAUGUGAAGUGGACAGGAACAAUCACUUUGGCAAAGGCAAGAACUAAGGGUUCCAAUGAAUUACUCCACAUAUGACCAACAGCCACAGGAUUUAUGUGACUGAACCAUUACGUUUCUGGACAAUGGCAACUCAGGAUGGUGACGGUAGGGAAUUUGGAGAUGAUAUGUCAAGCAGCAGUGUUUGGGUUAUGGCUGGAGAUAACAGGACUGUGGUUGUGCAUGUCAGCCAAUCGGAGAUUGGUGCUCUGUCUCGUGAAUCUGGAAGGGUGUUUUCUCGCAGUCUUUUGUCGAGGAGAGAUGAAGAGGGAGGACGCGUGUGGAGAGAGCUGGUAGACCACCGGAUGGAGUGGACUGAGAUCUGAGGGUCCAAAGGUUGACUGACGAAGUGGUACGAUGGUGGGUUCGGCAGGGAGUAACACCUAGCAACCUGACACUGCAUCAAGAAGAUCUGCUUGGUUUAGUCAUUGACCAAUAAACAAAAUACUUAUUACUUGCACUGUGCUUUCAAGGCAACGUUAAUGCACAUUUAUAGCUGAAUGCACCACGUUAACAUGCCUCUCACUUAAGAAACUUUGCUAAAGUGUUAUCUCUAAAAAGUAUUUCAAAAGCAUUCUCGAAGUCUCAAUAAAAAAAAUUGUAACACCCUCAUUGACCCAGGAGAAGUUGCUGGACUGUGACAAGAUAAAUGGGGGAGGAGCGACCAGGGAGGCACCAACUACAUUGUGUCAUUGUGAUGGGAGUAUGUAGAAGCCAUAUUCGUAAAGCAGGACUGUUACGUACCUCGUGGAUAUCUUGUGACUGUUUUAUGACCUUGAUGUAAUUCAGUAUCUUGUGAGCAUGAUGUAAUGAUCUUGUGAUAGUGGGGUGAUGUAAUUUCCCCACCAGUGUGAGGUCACGUGAUGACAUGUUCUCAAUAGGUAUAUAACUGGAAACCCCUGUUGUUACGCAGUUGAUUCAUUGUUUAAUUCAUCAGUUACUCCGUUAUGCUGUGUAUUCGUCUCAUGAUGCAGUUUCGUUUUAAAGUGGAGUUUUAUUUUCUAUUCUAAGUCUAGUAUUGGAGAGUGAAGACCUUACUAAAGUACGGGAACCUGAAGGAUUGAGGAAGGUUGUUGUCGCUUGGCGGUUUCACAAAGGAUCGACCUGAUUGAAUCUUUGUUCAGAAAUAGUGACCUGCAUCUGAGAUAACUCCUGUAAGAUCAGGAAGGUUUGUGCAGUGUUCAUUCGCCAGGAAAAGGUCAGUUCCUUUAAACCGUUUUAUCUCCUUCGUCGUGAAUCCUUUGGAGAAUCAGCAGUAACGUCACGUCUUUGAAGAAAUCUAUUUCAGAGAAGUCCCUCCUUAUUGACUGUGUAUAUCACUUGGACUUUCGAAUUUACCAUUUUAACACUGUGAUCAAAUUUACCACUUUAAGACUGUUCGAAUUUACCACUUUAAGAACUGUUCCAGAGUUGCCGUAUAGCAGCUAACUUCCGGCUAAGUUAGUCGUUUGAAUACUUUUCGCUAUUGUUGAGCAAUUUAAUAAAUGUUGAUGUUUUUUAAUAAAACCUGACUCAAUUCUAUAUUCAUUUGUUGCUGAUGAUGAGACAGGACCAACACACUAAUCUCAAACCAAAGCUCCAAGCCCCACCACAUUCCUAAACAGACAGCAGCUGCUAAAGGAGAAACCAACCAUUAACCAUAACCACCACUUACUCUUUCCCACACUGCAUCAAAAUAUGUGUAUCCCCAAUCAGCCUCUACAGCCACCUGAGGAACAACUAAUAGACAACCACUUAGGAGAACAUCAUACUAAACCUGAGUGAUCGCACUGCCGACCUAGCAAAACAGAGGCCCAAAACGAUCCAUCAAUCCCUUCUGCUCAACUGCUUCAACUUGUUCUUUCGUUGAACAAAUUUUCUGGCAUCUCAGUUUAUCCACUUCCUUCAAGUAAUUGACACCAUCUUCAUCAUCUCGUACUGCAUCUAUGUGGAAUAUUCCUUGAGUCAGCCCUAUUCACAUCCCCUCCUUCAUCUCUUUUUCCUGUCUGUUGUGGUCCAAACUGUAGAAAGCAAACACAUACAUCUAGCGGACCCCUCUACCACCACUCUGCUCCGUCUAGCGGAAUUAGUCCUUACUCUUAAUAAUUUCUCCUUUGGCUCCUCCCACUUCCUCCAAACUAAAGCUGCAGCUAUGGGCACCCGUAUGGUUCCCAGCUAUGCCUGCCUUUUUGUUGGCUUUGUGGAACAGUCCAUGUUCCAAGCCUAUACUGGUAACUGUCCCCCACUUUUCCUUUGCUACUUCGACAACUGCAUUGG